UACGUAGGGGCCGAGCGUUGUCCGGAGUUACUGGGCGUAAAGCGCGCGCAGGCGGCGCAUCGCGCCCGGCGUGAAAGCCCCCGGCUCAACCGGGGAGGGUCGUCGGGGACGGGUGCGCUUGAGGACGGCAGGGGCAGGUGGAAUUCCCGGUGUAGUGGUGAAAUGCGUAGAUAUCUGGAGGAACACCGGUGGCGAAGGCGGCAUCCUGGACCAACACUGACACUGAGGAGCGAAAGCCAGGGGAGCAAACGGG
rnacentral:rRNA from 1 species